rnacentral:rRNA from 1 species
AUUGAACGCUGGCGGCAGGCUUAACACAUGCAAGUCGAGCGAGCGGCGGACGGGUGAGUAAUGCCUGGGAAACUGCCUGAUGGAGGGGGAUAACUACUGGAAACGGUAGCUAAUACCGCAUACCAUCAGAUGAACCCAUAUGGGAUUAGCUAGUAGGUAAGGUAACGGCUUACCUAGGCGACGAUCCCUAGCUGGUCUGAGAGGAUGAUCAGCCACACGGGGACUGAGACACGGCCCAGACUCCUACGGGAGGCAGCAGUGGGGAAUAUUGCACAAUGGGCGCAAGCCUGAUGCAGCCAUGCCGCGUGUAUGAAGAAGGCCUUCGGGUUGUAAAGUACUUUCAGUCGGGAGGCGUUACCGUCAGAAGAAGCACCGGCUAACUCCGUGCCAGCAGCCGCGGUAAUUC